rnacentral:rRNA from 1 species
GGCUUGUUGAUUAUAAUUUCAGGUCGGACCUGCCCAAUGAGGAGUUAAAUGGCCGCGGUAUUUUGACCGUGCAAAGGUAGCAUAAUCAUUAGUUUUUUAAUUGGAAGCUUGAAUGAAGGGUUUGAUGAGAAAAUAACUGUCUCUGAGAAAAUUUAUUAGAAUUUUAUUUUUAGGUUAAAAAGCUUAAAUUUUUAUUGAAGACGAGAAGACCCUAUAGAGUUUUAUAUCGAAGUUUAAAUUAAGGUUUAGGAAUUUAAGUUUUAGUUUUAGAGUCUUUAUUUUGUUGGGGUGAUUAAAAAAUUAAAUUAACUUUUUUUUUAUUUAUAUACAGAUUAGUAAGUUUAUGAUCCUUUAUUUAAGAUUAUAAGAUUAAAUUACCUUAGGGAUAACAGCGUAAUUUUUUAGAAAGUUCUUAUUAAAAAGAAAGAUUGCGACCUCGAUGUUGGAUUAAAAUUUAUUAUUAGGUGUAGAAGCUAAUAAAUUAGGUCUGUUCGACCUUUGAAAUUUUACAUGAUCUGAGUUUAAACCGGUGUGAG